UACGGGGGGAGCAAGCGUUGUUCGGAUUUACUGGGCGUAAAGGGCGCGUAGGCGGUCAGCACAAGUCAGUUGUGGAAUCUCCGGGCUUAACUCGGAAAGGUCAACUGAUACUGUGCGACUAGAGUGCGGAAGGGGCAACUGGAAUUCUCGGUGUAGCGGUGAAAUGCGUAGAUAUCGAGAGGAACACCUGCGGCGAAGGCGGGUUGCUGGGCCGACACUGACGCUGAUGCGCGAAAGCCAGGGGAGCGAACGGG
rnacentral:rRNA from 1 species